AUAAAAACAUAAAGAAAAAAGAAAAAGAAAAAGAGUUGGACAAACGUAUAUAUGAUGGUUCCCUCAUGAGAAACAUCAGUCAUCCAAAGUUUUUUUUUUUUUCCAUGUUUCUCUUGU
rnacentral:ribozyme from 1 species